GAGUGUCGUGAAUAUCGUUUGCUGCGUUGGCCGCCGGUACACCCUUCUCUCCACGGUUGACCCAUUUGGCAAAGAUCUCCGACAGGGGGGAAUUCCGCAUUAGCCACCAGCGCGCGCGUUUUUACCGUUGGAACUGACCUUAUAGAUCCACUCGUUGGCGGGCUGCCUGAAACUUGGGGGUCGAUCGGCUGGUCGAAACAUAGAAUGGCCGUGAACGACGACUUACUGUCAGCGGUAGUUGAACCUGAUACAGAGGAAGGGAAACGAUCGUGAUCAGUGCCCGGGUGAAAAGAAUGCUUCACGCAUUCUUUCGCGGACGAACUGUUUCGAAUACACCCGCCCUUCCAUUUAUGUGGAGUAUCCGUUCCGCGUGGAUUCGUUUUGCCCGAAUGAAAAUCGCGUGAGUAGAGUCUGUCAGUAUAAAAGAAAAGGGAACGUUGGAAAGUGAAGAUGGUAUGAGUUUUAGGAAUACAUAUUUAUUUCGCACAGCUUGAGAAAAUAAUAGUGACGUUCCUGAAAACGAAAGUCAAUUUUGUUCGGUAUCACUUAAUUCGAAUCGCUUAAAUUGAUGUCGCGUGUGAACGACACAAUGUAAAUAGUGUUAUAAUUUGUAAUGCUGUACCGGCCAUCGGUGUACAGGGCGAGACGUCUUCAAAUUACUUGGAUGUUGUUCACCGUAUAAAUAAAUUUUUUUUAUAAAAGUUACUUGGUUUGCAGAAGGAAAUACUACACUGUAAUCUGAUUGUUAUUCUAUUUCUUUUUCGCUUUUUUAUGCUGAUAUGAAGAUCAUCUUCACUUUAUUCAAUGGAGUGGCUAAUACUUCAUCCUAAGUUCGAGCGCAACAUCAAAUUUUACGUAAAAAGCUGUUACACAAAAUAAUGUUUAAAAUGAAUACCUACUGAGAUGUUUUUAAGUUAAUCGUUCCGCAUUGGAGAAUAUAUUUAAUCAACGUAUCUAUAACGUGAUUGCAUUUAUGACGGUAGAUUUAUGAACACAGUAUUUGCAAGGUGUUACCAAUUCAUCGAUAUGAGGCAGAUAUCUUUAGUAUCCGUCUCUAGUAUUUCCUAGUAUCUCUAGUAUUCUAGUAUCUAUCUAGUAUCUUUACCAUCUUUACCGAUCUUAGAAAUUCAAUAUAACUGAUCACGUAAAAGUAAAGAAGGUAUCCGUAUGUUUCAUCUUCGUUUGUAGACCAGUUUCAUAUAAAUCCGUUUCUAUAUUAUACAUAAUAUAUAAUAACACAACUCACAGGCACAUAACAUAAAUACGAAACUGUAACCAAAGUGUUCGACACAGUUAAAAAUUCCGCUUUCAAAUUAUUUCCCAACCACUCGAUUUCGUGUCGUGCAAGAACGAGCUUGACGUACCGAACAAGAUACUUUAUUAUUCUAAAAAACAAAGGGAGGAGGAUUGUUCCUGCAACAAGUAUCGAUCGCCUAAAAUCGAAGCAAACGUUCGGUUGCCGCGACAGGGAAACAAACUGACUUCCCAACUCGCCGGAACUCGAUUCCGAAUGGAAAGAACGACCAGCCGGAAGGUUCGUGGAGGUGCUGCAAACCGAACGCUCCAUGGAAAACGUAAUUUAUUGAAAGGAACGAGCGCGCCUUUGCAUCAGCGAAAAACAAAAGGAAAGAUCGAAUCGAAAGAGGAAACCUUCGUUCCGUUCGCCUUGAAACGGCGCAGCGCUUUAGGUAAGUAACGGUCGCGCGAUGCACGUGGCUGUUGACGGAAGCGAAAACGUGACAUUGUGCAUAGUUUAAAAGCUGAGGCAUCGAAUCGCCGCGGCGGGGAACGCACGCUGAUCGAUACGAGUUAAUAAUUUAGGUCGGCUAACUGCGACUAGAAUUCGCGGCUGUUAUAGUCAAGUAGAUAAGAACAAAAGGCGGGCCUUGCGAAAGAAAACGGAGGAACGUUAAUGGCCUAUCCAGCGAGGAGAGCUUGACAAAUAGUGGUCGACGGCGAUGAAAGAGCGGCUGCGUUUCGUUACGUACCCACGUAACGAGUUCGGUCUUUCAGAGUAGAAAAGUGCCGACCAUAAAGAACCCCGGUGAUGCAGAAGACAGGCUGGGUUAAAGUUUCGCGACGCGCAAUCGGGUACGUGGAACGUAUUUAUCGCAGAACGCUAGCCGAAAGGUGACAAGACUCGUAGGAACACAAGUUUCUGUUUCAGAUAAGAAAUCUAUAAUAGCAAUUUCUCUGUACCGAAAUCCAUAUUAUAAUGUCAGUGUCGAUCUCUCUGAAAAUUGGAGAUCACAUUCAUCGGUUGUAUUACGGAAUACAUCUGUAGUAUCUCCUACUAGUCGUAGUUAACGCUUCAACGAUGAAAAAAACUGCAAUGAGGCCCGUUCAAACGACAGGACAAAAUAAUUUUCAUUUGAAGUCCGCUCACCGCUGCUAACCGAGCAAACUGUCAGGUAUCUCGUCACUCUUGCAGAAGGGGACACAUUUGGCAACGGGGCGACGGUUUUUCAUAUCCUACGACCGUGAAUUUCCCUCGACGACGAUCGUCGUGAACAAGUCCCGGACACGCGACAGGAUCGCGGUUCUACACGCGGGAAAAUCUUGUAGAAAAAUUGUAAAGAUAUGGUAGAAAAAAAGUCGGUUAAAAUGACAUACGAGGAGUGCCGGGGGGGAAAGAAUUUAGACAAAGGAUUGCGCGGCCCCCGGCUGCCCGCCUGAUGUUCGCCGAUCUCGGAGAAACGACCGAUCGAUUCUCGAAAAUAUUAAGUAUCACGUUUAUAUUCUCCUUUGUUUUACGCGAGAUUUUACCCUAGGUUUGCGGAGCGCGUCAAUUUGAGGCACACUGGACAUUAUGAAAGCGUACUAGUUCAUGGUUUUAACAACAUACAAUCUUCACUUAUUUUAUAAAAAAAAAGAUUCUAUCAAAAAUCGAAAGUAAAAGAAUAGAAAUAAUAGUGGAUAUUUCGUGCGCUAUAUAUACUAUUUAUUAACCCUUGCCUGGAAAUGACAAGUCUCCUCCGCACGUAUUUUCCAUGCGUGAUUUUGUAGACUAUUUUAUAAAUCUACCGUAUAGUAACUAAAAUAAUUUUCUUACUUUCAUAAAUAAAUUUAAAUGAAGCUUCAGUGUUCCAGUAUUGGAAAGUUACGAAUUUUCUGAAUCUAAAUUUUGAUGUGUUUCAAAAAUUAAUCAAUCUUUUGGAUUUGAUUUUGGUUAUUUGGUUUAGGGUACACGGAUAAAAAGAAUACAGAAAAUUGUGAUUAAUAAAAAGAUAAUUGUAUAAUUUUCUUUUGUUAAUAUGACAAUCUGGACGACUGGUUGUGUCGUCUUCCUUGUUGAAGACGGAACGAAAGUUUGAUACAUCCCCCAGCUUAGGGAAAACGAUCCCCCCAGUUCAGGAUGGGUCAGCUAGCAGCAGACAUAGUCUUUUCACUCCUUCCCAACUCCCGUACCUUCCCGUGACGUCACUGGAUCGUGUCAGUAGGUCAGAACCUGGUUACGUAUGCGCCGGUGUUUGUUCAACGUACCGGGUGUUCGAAAGCUACGUUUUGCAUCCCAAUAUCGCGACGCAAAAUACAUAACCAUUAUAAACGUUGCUCUUUUCACAAAUUACGCUAGACCAAAGCAGUGGAAGUUUGUACUGUGUUUCCUAGGUUCGAUGUAAAAUACCAGUUUGGCUGGAAUGCUGUUGAAAUAAUGGGAGAACAUUAAUUUUAAUUAACAUUAGAACUACCGCACCCGUCAAAAUGGGGAAGGGAUGAACUGGUUUUGAAUAUAUGUUAUUACGUGAAUAUAAUUUAUGAACUUGAAAGACGGUUACUUUUACUAAUCACUUUUCUGGUUACUGAUCGCAAAUGGAAGUCAAAACGCAUUUAUGAAUGUUGCAUGAGUCAUAUAAAUCAAGUAUAAUUAAAUAACACACAGCAUAAUAUAA